GACGAACGCUGGCGGCGUGCCUAAUACAUGCAAGUAGAACGCUGAAGGAGGAGCUUGCUUCUCUGGAUGAGUUGCGAACGGGUGAGUAACGCGUAGGUAACCUGCCUGGUAGCGGGGGAUAACUAUUGGAAACGAUAGCUAAUACCGCAUAAUAGUAGAUGUCGCAUGACAUUUGCUUAAAAGGUGCAAUUGCAUCACUACCAGAUGGACCUGCGUUGUAUUAGCUAGUUGGUGAGGUAACGGCUCACCAAGGCAACGAUACAUAGCCGACCUGAGAGGGUGAUCGGCCACACUGGGACUGAGACACGGCCCAGACUCCUACGGGAGGCAGCAGUAGGGAAUCGUCGGCAAUGGACGGAAGUCUGACCGAGCAACGCCGCGUGAGUGAAGAAGGUUUUCGGAUCGUAAAGCUCUGUUGUAAGAGAAGAAAGAGGGUGAGAGUGGAAAGUUCACACUGUGACGGUAUCUUAACAGAAAGGGACGGCUAACUACGUG
rnacentral:rRNA from 1 species